GCCCCUAUAGUUCAGAGGCCAAGAAUGCAAGGUUUUCAACCUUGUGACCCGGGUUCGAAUCCCGGUGGGGGCG
rnacentral:tRNA from 1 species